GAAUAACGCAUUAAAUAAGCAAUACAACUGCUCUAAUCCUCGCGUAAUAUCAUCCAUCCCCAUCAGAGAGUGCAACGCGUCACUUAUUUGUUAAGCAAUGCAUUGCAUAUCCGUCUGGGGCUUACAGCACAUUAAAUUGUCCGGAAAUUUUCCCUCCGCUCUCCGCACUGACACCUGCUCGUUUCGAGCUAUCCCACUCGGCCUAUAACUACCACUUCCUCGUUCUGAGCUCCGGUGUAUAAACAACCGAAUUCUCGAUACCGAAUAUCGCGUGAAAAGCGAUUAUUCGCAGACACUCGCGGGGAAAGCCUCUCUAUCCAAACAAUGACCGCGACUCGGUUACAUAAAGGCACUGCAGCGGCGCAAACCGCCGCGGCGAGCGUUAUCUAUUAAAAUGAUGCAACAGUAUAUGCGUACAGCAGGAGGAAAGUAUAAGCGAAAGAAGGUUUCCAGGUUAAUCGAGAAAGCCGCCGCCGAUCCUAUACACGCGAUCGCCGAUGCGGAAUAAGCCUUUGUGACUCUAUAUAGAGUUUAGCACACAUGCGCGAGGAGAGUUACGUCAGUUACGUAAGGCCGGCAUUCGUUAGAAUCCUUUUGCAUAAUAUCUUAAUCGGCCGGCGUGAUUCAUUACGCUCUCUCUCUCUCUCUCUCUCGCUUUCGUCGUCUGCCCCGUGUUUUCCGGGAUAGCUCCUUUCUCCGCGCUGCUGCAGCUUAUACACUCCUGCAAGUCAUCGCACGCGAUUUUUUACAUAGUUACGCGCGCGAAAAUCGACUCCUGUUCCGCAGCGUCUGGAAUAUCAUGUUUUCUGCGACGGUUUCUGCCGCGUUAAUUUGCAUAUCGGGCGAGAUUUCGCGAUGCGCAGAUUUUUGGGGACUGUAUACGCUUCGAAGGCUCGUUAUCGGCUAUCUAGCGGGAGAGAUUUUCUAGAAACAAAUAUAUUUACGUAAAAGAGAGAUGUAACGAGUCUGGGAAUUACACGAGUACGCGCUGCAGUAACCCGCUGUUACACGCGCGUUAUGCAAAGACUCUUCGCGCCGAUAUAGGUGGCAGAUGUGAAACUGUAGCAAAUAAUUAAAGAUCCAUAGUAAGUCCUUCUGGAAGUUUUACAUUGUUCUCCCGCUGUAAUGCCACAGCACACAAUCGGACGUCGCAAAUGAUCGACUAAUGUCCAGUAAGCUUUCAGCCGUAAUGCCUGGCAUUAACCAAGUUUACCAAGAGCCGCGCCGUAACGCUCUCGCUCUCGAUGUGAAAUCGAAGAGCGCCCGAGUCGAAAAGGCAAAAAAGGCCCUGUAAUCAAACUCCACUUUGUGUAUGGUAGGAUCAGCUGACGAAAAAUGAUCGAGCCUGAGGUGAAACAGUAUAUAGUGUCUUACGCAAAUUCGACGGAAUUGGCGAAAAAGCUCAUCGCUCAAUGUCGGCGUACGAAGCGCAUACACGUACACAGAGGAUAACAUUCGAAUCCUUGACGGAUACGUCCGGUAGGUAUGUAAUAAGCGGGUGGCGCGUCAGUUGUCGCUAUAUAGAAGCACGCGAGCGUCGUUUUCUGCGCGGAUAUACAGGUACACAGCAGCGCCUUUCGAAACUCGGCUGCGUAUAUAAAUGUCGUGCGCGAUAGAUAUCGGUGAAAUUUCGACUCUCGUCUGUGACGAGGCCUGUGUUUAGGCGCAUGCGAAAUUCGAGUAUUACAAGGUGGACGCUUAUUUUCGUUGGGAAACGGCACGCCGGUUGAUAGCACUUUUUAUUUUCGGUUAUGUAUAGCGGCUAUUACAUUCAGAUUUGGCUGGUUUCGCCGUAAAAUGUUUUCCAAGGUCAGUGACUUCUUUAAUGAUCGACGAUGAGCUUUAGAAAUAAUUGCAAACGAUUGAAUCAGCCUUGGCAUCUUUUUAAAAAAAUAGAUUUGCCCAAGAUAUAAAACUUUCGUCGAACAGCAGCAGCAGCAGCAGCAGCAGCAGCAGAAACGUCCUCAUACACACCGACAUCGCAUUAUUCCCGCGCAUAACUACUAGACCGCACGCAGACAGACACGGCUAUUAUCGGAUGCUCGGUCGUGCUGAAAUUCGUUUUCUCGCGGUUCGCUCUCGGCUCUAUCCUCGUGACUACUGCAUCCAGUGCGAUGUAAUUGUUUCUGGAAACGUCGCGUAUUAGCGGCGGCAAGUUUCAAUUUCACUGCACUACUGCGCCGACGAGAAGAGAGAAAUUGCCUUCGCCAAUUUCGACACUCGACUUUAAUACGCGGCCGCCUCUUUCACUUAGCGUUGUGUGCAGUAUACGCGCGGAUUUUAAGCAUCUCUGCGCAAUCGAAAUGGGAUGGAGUUUUUUUGGGAGAGAAAACUAGAGCUGUAAACACGCGAACUUUCUCGGCUCUGCCGCUGUUGUUGUUGUGGUGCCAGAUCGUGUUCUGGUCUGGCUUUUGUGCAGCGUCAUCGCCUCUUGCAGGAGUCUAUCAGCUGUGUAGUUAUUUACAAGAACGUUAACUUAAUUAAUGGUCGGAUGAAUGUGGAUAACGAAAGCGCUGGAGCUGAGAGCGGUUCGUCUGUUCCGUGCAAAUUGGCCCAUUUCAGCGGUGAAUUUUCUUAUCCUCGGCGCGCGUAUGUCGCUUGAAAGUAGACACAACGGAAAGGAUUACGAGUUUAACCGAGCUCGGAGAAAUUAUAAAACCAUCGUUCUAUCGAGCUUCCUCGUACUGGCUCAUCUUGAUUUUCGUAAUCCCGCGCAGCCAGAGGUCAGAGAUUCGGUUAUUUUUAACAAGUUUUUAAAUAUUCUCUUAUAUGAAAUUCCAUUAUAGAGUUUAGCGGGCACGUGUAGUUUCCGCGCUGUAAAUUUCGGAGACGCUUGAAUAUUCAGCGAGCGCGACACUGCGUACCGAUUUAUUAAUCAGCCGAGAAAUUCCUCAGCUCCGACAAGUUUUUCUCAAACGCUUAUAUAUAUAUAUAGCCGUCGUCGAUCAUCGGCAUAAUACCUCUUUAUCCAGCCAUCCGAAUGUGCAAAUCAAACCCAAACGAUCGAUUAGCUAAUUAUGCCAUCGGUAAUUAGCAUUUCCCUUCGCAAACACUCAAAUUACCAGCGUAUACGUAUAACUGACCCGUGACCCACACGCUUUCGAGCAACGCCAUAGUGCGCAGCAGCGUACUGAUCAAGGUGAGCGAAUCAACUCGCCUGGGUUUGGGUUUAAUUUGCCGCGAGUAUUACCCAAUAUCGUCAAGGUCGAGCGGAUGCCGUUUGAGAAUUUCGGCUCUGCUCCUUUCGACGUGAUUCAGCAGUAUAUACUCGGGUAUUAUGAGAGCGACGGAUGUAAUAUCGUUAGAUGAUCGAGAAAUCGGAUUGCGAUAUGGGUAGAGGAACGAUCGGGGAUUUAUUUUUAGUUAUGAGGUUUAUCAUUUUAUGACGAGAUUCGGACAGCAGGUGGCGUUGUAUCGCCGUGCGAAGUUUAGUAUCGCGUUAUCGAGUGUUGAUACGCGAUGAAUACCGAUAAUUCAGCCGGUUAUCGGUUUUCAAUGCUCUUUUUCUUUUUUUAAUAUUCCGGUUUCGCAAGCUUCUCGUGUUUUGAAAUAUUAUUUAAAUAACAUUUUUACGAUAAAAAUCACUCAGUCCCGGAAUUAUCCUUGUAAUCCUGUCGACUCCUCGACCUCGUAUCGGUAUUGCAGCGUUCCUGCAUAUAUCCUUUUCGUUUAUCAAUCGAUUUCGUCACACCGCAUAAAACAAAAGAAUAAAACAACCACCAGCUGCAACCUGACCUGAACUACCCACGAUACCCAUAAAUGAUUCAAAGGGGUCGCAUCGAUCGAUUCCAGUAAAUUGGCAAAAAACUAGCACAGACGGUGCUCUUGACACGAUAAUUCCCAUUAUAUAUAUUCUUGGAUAAAAAAGAACUCAACGUUUAUCGAUCUCUCGGCAAACAAUAGAAAAUCCUCGUAUAGGAUAACGAUCCGUCACCUGCGUGGAAAAAGUAGGUAAACUCCAGUAGACGAGAUGCUAAUCCCAGUCGAUUAAUUAAACAAAGUCUCGAGCUCUUUAAGGCGAAGACUCGCGCGCGAGAGCAAAAUGAAUCUUCCGCGAUAAUAAUCUGCGAGCGCGCGAGUAACCUGUCAUUAGAGCGCAUGGAAAUCGUCGCGCGAUUCUCCUCGCUUUUCUCUUUCUCUUCCCUUGUCGUCUAUGGCGGAUUGUGCAGUCGUUGGCUUAGUUGGGUGACUGCAAAACUUUCAUCGUCGCGAGUCUGGAUCGUAAUAGUCUCGAAAGGGGACAAGUGACAUUGUUAUAGAAGCUUCGUUACGCUUCUUCUGUUGCCUCAGGUGGAGCAAUCGAAGAUAAGAAUUUUUCAGCGUGAUAAGAGUGGCGGGUUUUUUGUGCUGAAGAAAUUGUCGAAUAUUCGAACGAUUAUAAUUCGGCCCAUGAGAAUCUUUUUCCUCAGUCGUAGAUCACCGGGGAUUUGUGAUCAAACAGCUGGUUUAUUAGCACUUGUACGUUUAAGCGGCUAAGGUCGACUUCUCUUGAUCUCUAUCGCGUCGAAAAAUAUUGUCGCGAGAUCUGUUGAAAAUGCCGAUAUAAAAUCGUAACCGCUGACUCAGACGGUAUAUUGUCCGCUUUAUUUACCAAUUUAAUUAUACUGCGUUCAACAUAUCGGUUAAAACGUUCAGAGCUACUGGCAAAAAGAGUAUAAUCGAGCGUUUCUUUUACGACUGCAAUUAAUUUCAAGCCUGAAUAAGCGCCCAGAGAUAACAAGGAAAAAAAUACUGCACUUGAGCCGUUUUACUUUAAUUUCGAGUUUUACACGAACGCGAUACAAUCAACCUGUAUCUGAUAAGUCUAUAAUCAGACAACGCGGAUGAGUUACUCGACGCAUCGCUUCGUAAUCAAUCAGCCGUCCGUUUGAAUUUUGAACGACAUUUGACACUAGAAGGAACGAAAAAAUCUCGACCCACGUCUCAACACGCGGCAUAUCCGAUUUUCCUCAAUAAUAUUCAAAAGGAAACGAGGCCAGGCACUUUUGCUCUCGCGCAAGAUGUGCGGCUGCCUCAAGGGGUGAAAGAUCGCGAAUCGCGAGGUCGACGUCGAACACAGGGCCGCAGAGAAUCGAGUGAACGUCGAGAUUUACAGAAUCACCGAUAUAAAGGCCAAGAACGCUGUCGCGCAUGCUUUUGACACCGAUUUUCCUUUUUGCGAGAUCUUUGAAUUCGACGAUUAGUCGAGCAUGAGCAAACCCUUUUUCGUAAAAUCGCAUUUGCAUCAUUCAGUUGCCGCGAGAACUAUAGUUUUGUUUGAUUUAUUUCGGGAAGCUGUGAAUGAAUCCUCACUUUUCAUCCUCCUAAAUCAUUGUUUAUAUUUCACCUCGACCUUGAAGCUAGCCCAAAUAGCGACGGUCCAUUGAAAUUACAAUAAAAAUGUUCUCAAUCUCACGACGAAAAGUAAGUAGUAGGAAGCGCACAAAGGGCACAGCAAGCAUUCGAUCGAAAUCUCUCGCUGAUCGCGUAAGCCUCGAGUCACCAGCUCCGAUUCCGCUACUUCCAAAAACUUUCUCUGACGCUUCGAUGCGCCGCAAACGUAGAAUCAUCGCUUCUCAUUACGUGUGAAUUUGGUGAUAAAGAGCAGUGCAGCGUAAUGCUCAUGCAUGUACGGCGCAGUUACGUGUGCCCCUCGUAUGGUCAGCACCUCAACAAUCGCGGCUUACGCGACUAAUUUCCUUUUCGCGUCUAACUCCUAUAUUUCCCUUUUGAUUAAUUCAUUACCUCGUACUUUUUACGGGACUUUUGCAUGACUGUGUACGAAUUGCGAUUGUUGUGCGCUAAUAAGUCCGACCACAUGCGGUGGUUACUUAUACGUAUUAUGUAAAUAACGAGGAAGGAAAACGCGUAAUUUUUUGCGAUGCAAAACUUCGUUUUCACUCGAAUUUUUGUAUUUUUAGAGCUGACAAAACGAAACCGCAUCAUGCUCCGGUCGACGAAAAAACUACCGCAUCGUUAAACGGGGGGAGAUGCUGUUACGUGAACUUGAAAACAAGAAUCACCGACGCGCACAAAACGAAUGAUAAUUUUUCACUUUGCCACCGGGAACAACAUCUUCACCGCAAUAGAUCAAAGUCACCGCCGUCGAAUCUCUUUUCCAUAAUGCCUCUGUAUAGGAACCCGCCGCGACGAGUGUUUCAAAGUUCCGCGCGGCGCGAAUUCUCGGCUUUCACAUCCUCGCUCUCGUUAAGCGCAUCCGCGCGAGAUAAGCCUCGAUCUCGAUAAAGCGCUCCGAUGUUGCUCUAUCCGUGCCGGCUAGAAAGUCCCGUAAUUUAUGAACUCUCGUUUAUUUGAACUGCCCUCGCGAUGUGCGGCCAUACACGUGAAAAGCACAAAGAUCUACGAAGCUGAAUCACGAUUGUUCUGCGUCUGCUUUGAAAUAUCGCUGUAGAGGCGCUUUUCUUUUUUUUUUUUGGUUAUUAACGUCGACUUGAUUUGUGUAUAUCGCAGGAGAUAGCUUUAUCAAUAACAACGGCUGUACAAUGAGAUCAGGUUCCGUUUCUUCAGCCGCAUUGAGCUGCGAGGCACCGGCGUAACGAAUCGGGCAUUUAGAACUUAAUCGGAGCUAAUUGACUGUCGACUGUCGCGGAAUCGCGCAAAGAGCGAGAACGAGCGAGAAACCGGUUCGCCAGUAUACACUUCCGUAUGCACGUGCGUCAGUGAGUAAACAAAUGCUCGAAAAUAGUGAGCGUUGUAUACCAACUUGGUGCACAUCUCAAUUAUUGCUGAUCUAUUUUGAUGAAAAAAUUCAACAACUUGAUACACUGUAGUUGUAACGUUCAGCGAUGAGGUUUAGAAGACCCAAAAAUAACGAUUAAAACUCUAACUAGGCCGCGACAAUCUGCAAAGAUUUUUUAUGGAAAAAUAAGGCGCCGUAAUAACAUAAAAUUUGCAUGAUUCAACGGAUAUUAUUAUAGUGCAUAGCCUCGUAUCACAAUUAUUUAAUGUAAGAAUGACUUCACGCAAUAGUUACAUAAACUGUUCAUCAAGGAAGUCGCGCAGAAAGAGAAACCGAUUAUUAAAUCAUCAAAGAUAAAUACUGCUAUAAUGUAGUGCUAGAAUGCUCAUAAAGACCAAGUCAGCGUAGCGAUUACUCGUAGAAUCGACGUUUCCAGUUAAUAUAACUAGAUUCCUUUUGCUAAAUCAAAAUCACCCGAUGAGUAUAAACCCCAGAAAUUAGCGAUUUUCGUGAUUACGUACAUAGCGAUAACUUCACCCUUCACAAAAGCUGCCCGAAGUUCUGGCCAACCUAUUUUUGCGGGUUUUUCCGUCCUCUUCAAGGCUAUAUAGGUAAGAUUCACGAGAAAACGUGCCAAGGUACCCUAAUCGCCCGAUUAGUGAACCCCAAGAAACACGCGAUUUGGAGCCUCAGGGUCGGGCCAAUACUUCGCCCCUUAGCAGGAACUGGCGGUGGUACAGACACAGACCUAUCUGAUUUUGCGUGUUUUUCCGUCCUCUUUAACCCUAUGUAGGUUAGAUGAACGAGAAAACGUGCAAACGUAUCGAGAACGCCCGACAAGUGACACCCAGAAUUCAGCGAAUUUUGGGGUCCGAUACUAGGCGAUAUUUCGACUAUUAGCAGCAACUGCCCGAACUUCUAGCCUACCUAUUUUUGUGCAUUUUUUAACCCUCUUCAAGACUAUGUAGGUUAGAUUCACGAGAAAACGUACCAAAGUACCCAAAUCACCCGAUAAGGGUACUCCAGCAAUCAGCGAUUUUUUUGUUACUGUAUACGAGGUGAUACUUUGGUUAAUAGCAGGGUCUGCUCUGGGACUUAUUCGGUUAGGGUAUCAAAAUCUCCUGUCAACUUAACGUAAAUAUUGAUCGACCCCAGUCUCCAUUUUCUCAGUUGACUGAUCAUCGUGGUUUACGUGACUUUUGGAGAAUAUAAAUUGCGCAACGCUCAUUAUUCGUUAAGUAAGAUUUGGCGCGCUAUAUGUUACGUCCACGCAUGUGUAAUGAUUGCGGUAGUAAUCCGCGAUGUUACGAGGAAGAAAAUGGCCACACAGCGCAGCGACACAGUCCGUCUGAUGUGAUCGAUAAUAAAUCGAUAAAAAAAAUCUCGUUCAUUUUUACAUUUUAUCGGAUAGUCGGGAAAAAUGUAUGAUGAAUUUACGACUAUGGUUUUAGCGUGUAAUGCGUAUAAAUUCAUUUUGUAAUUCAAGUGUUUAUUGUGUGAAUUUUGGGCGCGUUACGUUUGAAAGGAUUUUCUUAUUAUUCUUUCGUUAUAAUACUCGAAGCGCCAAAAUUGUCUGCAACCGAUCCAACCGUCAUUUUUACUGCGGUACACGACUUGUUUAUUUCUAUCCUGUUAUUUGCUAAAUUAACUUGUUACAGUUUACAUGCAUAUACGGGAUAAUUGGCCUUAGGUUAUAAGUUUUUUAAUUUUUGACGUUCGAUAUAAUCAAACUCAUAUGGGGAACGUCCGCGAGGAUCAACUCCAUAAUCUUAUGAAGCGAUGAUUUCAUCGGGCGCUAAGUUCAUUUCGUUCGCGUAUUCACAUCUCUCCUACGUUUUUGCAGGCCCAUUACUUGCGUCAUUUGGAUCCAUUGCCGGUAACGACGAACAUCAACUCUCUCGCUUUCUACAGGAAACUACGGAGACACGCGUGCUUUUUUCGCGACGAUUUUGUUGUAUUUUAUGUUAUUCAAACUAACACUGCCAGUCUGCUGCUAAAAAAUUCGAUUCUGGCAUAUUUCGGAUUUUUUUUUUUUUUACAUUCACAAUACGUUACUCGGUCUUCCUAUCUGACGCGCUUGGAGCGCAGGUUCGAAGGAAAGCGUAGCCUGCCGCCAUAUGCAGCGGAAAAGCGUCGCUUGCUUUUCUCCCGUGGAAACGGUGCAAGUCAAGGACUUGGCCCGAAAAACCUUCCAAAAUCGGCUGAGAUAACAAUGCUCCGUCUCCGCCAGAGGCGCUGCCAAGCAUGGUGGCGACUAUUCCCAAGGCAUUACAGAUUCUCGCUCUGUCAAGUCGCAAGUGGUGCCGCAUAAUACACGCGGAAUCUCGUAAGGUGGCCAAAAUCGGAACUAUCCCAUUAUAUGCAGCUGUGACGUUGCACGCGAGUUUUUUCACUUCCAAGCUGUCAAGACGUUGCAUCUCGUGGAUCGUGUCGUUUAUCCGAAUAAACCCGUUUUCUUGUACAUCCGAUGACAAUUUUGCUUCUUACUGCGCAAACCGAAAAACCUCGUUAAGUUAAGAGCCCAGAAGUGCAUAACGCAUCCAAUAAGUGUCAAAAUAAUCAGUCCAGCGCGAGCACUGCACUCUCUCUCUCUCUCUCUCUAUCUCUCGGAAAUAUGUGUUCAACCAAUGCAAAGUGCGCAGUUCUGAAGGACGAAGGGCCAAAAGAGAAGAUCGACGAGUUGAAGACUUCGAUGAGGUACUAAUAUACGCUUAUAUUUCUAAUCGAAAUUGGUGCACCGUUUAGUUCUUCAAAAAUUAUAAAUAUUAUGAAGAUAAGAAAAGGCGAGUUUUUCAAUGAAUUUCUUAUUUUACAAUUUUUAUGGUCGUCGAAUCGAUAGAAAGCUCAAAUUAGAUAUGCAAGAUGACGAGAAACAGGAGUUUUAUCGGGGAAUGCUGGACACGAUCGACGUGCUCAUGUCGGAAUUGGGAUUGGAAAUGAACGAGGAACCAGAGAGCGAUCCGGCCCAGCUGCAGAGUGGCGCUCCUUGCACCGACGAGCGAGCUGGGCCGUCAAGUCCCAAGAUGAGCGAUGAGCUUUCCCGGCAACCGGAUCCGGUAAUUAGUCCGGCCCAGCCGCAGAGUGACGGUGAACAUCCCAGGCCGAGUGAUGCGCCCCCCACCGAACAGCUUGCUCCGUCGAGUCCAAAGAAGUGCAAGCUUGAGCCAAGAGAGGUCCAGGUGCCUGGCGCUGCUAAUCGGAAAAAAGCUCGAGUGAGCGAAACUCAAGCAUAGGCCCGUCUGUAGUCCCUCAAUAUGAGCGACAUUAUUCCGCCAAUUAAAAGCACUCAUUUCUCUCGCCAAGGGAAGCCAGCAGUGAGGGAACAGCAGCCGGAGAAGCGCGAGCUCAUCCGUCGACAGUUGCUGUUGAUGGCGCACUCGCGGUACUGUCAGCGCCGGGUUGAAGGCGACCAGUGCAGCAUACCCUCUUGCAUAAUCAUGAAGAAGGUGCUGAACCACACGGCGAACUGCCCGGAUAGCGAGAGCAGCUCGACUCACCGGAUCAGCGAGCACUAUAAGCGCUGCGCGCGGAACUACUGUUCGGUCUGCCCACCGAUCAAGGAGUUUGAGAAAAAGUUGGCCUCGGUUCGCACAGGAGCUGCCAAACCGAGCUCGAGCACACACCCGCCAAGAGAAGUAAAAUGGUGACGUCGUUAAGAUCCAUCCGAUUUUAGAAAAUAUGAAUCAGGAGGCACGUUAGAGCGCGAAGAACGAGAAUUUCAAAGUUAGCCGCGGCAACUUUUGGUUUAACGCUGAGUUCACCAAGCUAUCGACAUUACCUACUUUUUGUAUUUUAUCUGAAUAAAUAUAUAUAUAUCGUUUUGAGUUAACAGUUUAAAA